rnacentral:rRNA from 1 species
AGUGAACGCUGGCGGUAGGCCUAACACAUGCAAGUCGAACGGCAGCACAGUAAGAGCUUGCUCUUACGGGUGGCGAGUGGCGGACGGGUGAGGAAUACAUCGGAAUCUACUUUUUCGUGGGGGAUAACGUAGGGAAACUUACGCUAAUACCGCAUACGACCUACGGGUGAAAGCAGGGGAUCUUCGGACCUUGCGCGAUUGAAUGAGCCGAUGUCGGAUUAGCUAGUUGGCGGGGUAAAGGCCCACCAAGGCGACGAUCCGUAGCUGGUCUGAGAGGAUGAUCAGCCACACUGGAACUGAGACAAGGUCCAGACUCCUACGGGAGGCAGCCGUGGGGAAUAUUGGACAAUGGGCGCAAGCCUGAUCCAGCCAUACCGCGUGGGUGAAGAAGGCCUUCGGGUUGUAAAGCCCUUUUGUUGGGAAAGAAAAGCAGCAGGUUAAUACCCCGCUGUUCUGACGGUACCCAAAGAAUAAGCACCGGCUAACUUCGUG